UUCAAUGCUGCGUGGUAGGC
rnacentral:misc_RNA from 1 species